rnacentral:tRNA from 1 species
GGUAGGGUGGCCGAUAGUUAGGUGGCAGGCUGUAGUCCUGCUAACAUGGGUUUAAAUCCUGUUUCUACC